AAUUAAAAUGUAUUUAUGAAAAAUUAAAAUUAGAUGAAAAUGAACAAUUUAAUAAAGAAAAGGAAGUAGAAAAUAUAGUAGAAAAGGAAGUAGAAAAAGCAGCUAUUAACGCAUAUGGUAAUAACUUUAAUAUACAACAUGAUGUUACUAAAGAUUAUAAUUAUAUCUCUAAUGAAUUAAAACUGACAAAUUCAGAUAAUAUAAAUAACAAUAAUGUGAAUGUUGACACUGUUACCUCUACGAAAGUUAAUAUGUACAACACGAGUGAAAGUAACAGUAACAGUAACAGUAGUAAAAAUGUUAAUGACCAUGUAAGUCGAAAUAAUGAAACAGAUUUUUCUCAUCCUAGUAACAAAUUAGAUACUAAUUUUAAUCAAGUUGUAGUUAAAAAUGAAUUGAACGAUGAUAUAAAAAAGGAAGUACUAAAUUUAACAUAUUCUACUUAUACUGAUAAAUCAAAUUUAUUAACAACAAAAAAGGAAAACAGUAAAAAAUGUGUCAUGCCUGAUCAAUUUGAUGCGACUACAACCACUACCACUACCACUACCCCUAAUAAUAGUACCUUUUCUAUUAGUGAAAAACAAAAAAAAGAAAUAUCAUCUGAACAAUAUACAAAUGAAGAUUUGUACGAUCAAAAUAAAACAUAUAUCAUGCCUAUUUCGUUUGUUGGUGGAGAAACGUCUUAUUCUUUAAUAGGGGUAGUAUAUAUAGAAGAACCAUUAACCUUAAUCGAUAAUGAAAUUAAUAAAACAGUUACAGAGAUAAUAAAUAAUAACAUGCAAGAUAAAUUGUAUAUUUCAGAUCAUAAAAAACAUUUGUUAUAUAAUUUUUUAAGUAAAUGGUUUAUUAACGAAAAAAAUAGUGAACAGAUAAUACUUGAGAAGUUAAAAUGUGGAAGUGUAUACAAAAUAAAGUAUAUAUGUGAAUAUGAAAAUUCUUGUUUUUUUCCUGCUAGAAAACAACCUUUAUAUGGUAUUAUAAAUAAUAAAAUAAAUAAAUCUACAGAUAAAAAAAAUAUAGAAAUUGUUAUAGAUUCUAAUAAAUUCAAGGAAGUAGUGUAUAGUGUUGAUAGUUAUAAAAAAUAUGGUAGUAGACCUAACAACAUAGAUAUUAAAAAAGGGUCACUUUCCACUACAGCUGUCAGUAGUGGUACUACUUCAUCUUGUACUGUCGAACAAAAUGAGCAAAGUAAUACAUUUUUUAUGACGAUGGAAAAAUCAAAACAAAUGUAUGAUAAUACUAUGUAUAUUAAAAAAAAUGAACAAGUUAUUAUUGCCCCUACUAAUGACCAAGCAAUUACUACAAUACCCAAUAAUACCUACCAAA
rnacentral:lncRNA from 1 species